GCUUGCUUCUGGAAGGUAUUUACUAAAAUUAAAAUGAUACAGAGAAGAUUAGUAUGACCCCUGUGCAAGGAUGACACAAAAAUUGGUGGAGCGUUCCAUACAAAU